UGGAAACAAAAUGAAUGGUUUCAGAUGAAGAUUGUCAUGUUCUAAGGAAGUAAAUGCCAUUUGAAUUUGACAAGACAGUUGAAAGAAAAUACUUUAGGAAGGUUCUACACUGACUAUACUACAAAGCCCUCAAAUUUUAUCACAUUUUAAGGAAUCCAGACCAGCUACUUUCAGCUCUUCAUUCACAUCUGUCUUGUGAGUAAUUUGAGAGAGCAGUCCACAUCGGGCCAGUGCAUGAUCAGAAUGUGUGAAGUACCUACCUUGCUCUGGAUCUCUGGAGAAUCAGCCGACAAAGGGCAGAUACUGAAACCAUAGGAAAACACUGAAGACUUAAAAGCUACAGCAUUUGGGGGGUUACUUAAAUGUCAAGGAUAUGAGCGCCAUGACUGAAUUCUGAAGACUUUUCCAGAAAAGGGAGAAACACUAGACAAAAUAGGGGAUCCCUGUGUUUCACCAGAGGACUCUGCUAUGUCCGGAUCCUACCAGCACCAAGUAUAGACCAUCAACAUAUUCUGAGCCUCAGCAGUUGACCAGGAAACAAAAGCCAGAAUAAAUAUCUUCCCUGCAUAAAAUAUCCUCCCUCAAGUAUGUUGCUAUAGUAAAAGAAAUGAAUUAAUCUGUCAUUCAAGGUAUCUGGCCCAUUAUUAUAUUGGUUGUAUUGGUCAGGGAGAUUUAUAUACGCGCGCACGUGCACACACACACACACACACACACAUACACACACACACACACACACAGGAUUUGUUAGAAUGGUUUGCUUCCAGGUUAUUGUCAAACUAUUCCAACAAUGAGCCUACCAAUGAAAAGUUCAAAAAUCCAAUAGUUACACAGUCCAUGAGGAUUGAUGUAUCGACUGGUCUUUAGUAUAUUCCAGAAUCCCAAAAAAGUAGACUUGAAUACCAAUAAGGAAAUUAACUUAACAGUGAGAGUAAGGACAAGCAGGCAAAAAAAGAAAAACAAAACAAAACAAAAACAAAAAAAAAACAAAACAAAAAAAAAAAAAAAACUCCCUUCUACCAUGUCCUUUGUGUAGGCUGACACCAGAAGGUGUGGCCCAGAUUAAAGAUCGAUUUUUUUUUCAACUCAAAAGAUCCAGCUAUAGGGUCUCUUCCUACCUCAAAUGAUUCCAUCAAGAAAAAAAAUCCCUCAAAGUUGUACCCAACAGCUUGGGUUUUAGUUAAUUCUAGAUGUCAAGUUUUUUUUCUAGAUUUCUAGAUGUCAACCACCAAGAACAGCCAUCCCAUAGGUUAUUAACCUUUGUUAAAAGCAGGAAGCUGAGAAGCAAUACAUUGCUUCACUAUUUAGAGAGGUUCUCCUAACAGCUCUUGGAAAUGUUAAAAAGUGUUAGAAAGGGGCCUAAUUAGAUUAUGAACUGCAAUGUUUUUAAGUCUGAGCAAAUUCAAGUAAAUAUCAAAUGCAGCAAUGCUAGGAACCUUCACCAAUGUGAAGCGCAGGCCGGCUACACUCCUGCUGCCUGUAAAACUUACACCAUUAAUGUACACAAUCUGAUUAGGUCAAAGUCACUAACUGUGGAGCAAAUUGAAGUACUCUAAAAUGGUCACAUUUAGAAUUUAACUUUGAAAAGUGCAUUUAAAUUAUUGUAUUCCU